rnacentral:rRNA from 1 species
AUUACUGAGUUUACGCUCUAUAACCCUUUGUGAACAUACCUAUAACUGUUGCUUCGGCGGGCAGGGUCUCCGUGACCCUCCCGGCCUCCCGCCCCCGGGCGGGUCGGCGCCCGCCGGAGGAUAACCAAACUCUGAUUUAACGACGUUUCUUCUGAGUGGUACAAGCAAAUAAUCAAAACUUUUAACAACGGAUCUCUUGGUUCUGGCAUCGAUGAAGAACGCAGCGAAAUGCGAUAAGUAAUGUGAAUUGCAGAAUUCAGUGAAUCAUCGAAUCUUUGAACGCACAUUGCGCCCGCCAGCAUUCUGGCGGGCAUGCCUGUUCGAGCGUCAUUUCAACCCUCAAGCUCUGCUUGGUGUUGGGGCCCUACAGCUGAUGUAGGCCCUCAAAGGUAGUGGCGGACCCUCCCGGAGCCUCCUUUGCGUAGUAACUUUACGUCUCGCACUGGGAUCCGGAGGGACUCUUGCCGUAAAACCCCCCAAUUUUCCAAAGGUUGACCUCGGAUCAGGUAGGAAUACCCGCUGAACUUAAGCAUAUCAAUAAGCGGAGGAAAAGAAACCAACAGGGAUUGCCUCAGUAACGGCGAGUGAAGCGGCAACAGCUCAAAUUUGAAAUCUGGCCCUAGGCCCG